CCUAAGGGUCUGUCCUAUGGAUAGACUCGGUUCUAUUUUGUUGGUUUUCGGAAUCUGAGGUAAUGAUCAAUGGGGACAGGCGGGGGCAUUCGUAUUGCGACGUUAGAGGUGAAAUUCUUGGAUCGUCGCAAGACGGACCGAAGCGAAAGCAUUUGCCAAGUAUGUUCUCGUCGAUCAAGAACGAAAGUUAGAGGUUCGAAGGCGAUCAGAUACCGCCCUAGUUCUAACCAUAAACUAUGCCUGCCAGCGAUCCGCCGAAGUUCCUCCGAUGACUCGGCGGGCAGCUUCCGGGAAACCAGAGCUUUUGGGUUCCGGGGGAAGUAUGGUUGCAAAGCUGAAACUUAAAGGAAUUGACGGAAGGGCACCACCAGGAGUGGAGCCUGCGGCUUAAUUUGACUCAACACGGGAAAACUCACCAGGCCCGGACACCGGAAGGAUUGACAGAUUGAGAGCUCUUUCUUGAUUCGGUGGGUGGUGGUGCAUGGCCGUUCUUAGUUGGUGGAGCGAUUUGUCUGGUUAAUUCCGAUAACGAACGAGACUCUAGCCUACUAACUAGGCGUACCCGGUAUCCACAAUCGUGCUACCGGCGAUCAAAUUUCUUCUUAGAGGGACAGGCGGCUUCUAGCCGCACGAGACUGAGCAAUAACAGGUCUGUGAUGCCCUUAGAUGUCCUGGGCCGCACGCGCGCUACACUGAAGGAAUCAGCGUGUCUUCCCUGUCCGAAAGGACCGGGGAAUGCCCUGAACCGCCUCUGUGGGACGGAUUGGGGCAUGCAAUGUUCCCCCUGAACGAGGAGUCCCCCACUGCG
rnacentral:rRNA from 1 species